rnacentral:rRNA from 1 species
UGGGGAAUAUUGCACAAUGGGCGCAAGCCUGAUGCAGCCAUGCCGCGUGUAUGAAGAAGGCCUUCGGGUUGUAAAGUACUUUCAGUCGGGAGGAAGGUGUCAAGGUUAAUAACCUUGGCAAUUGACGUUACCGACAGAAGAAGCACCGGCUAACUCCGUGCCAGCAGCCGCGGUAAUACGGAGGGUGCAAGCGUUAAUCGGAAUUACUGGGCGUAAAGCGCACGCAGGCGGUUGAUUGAGUCAGAUGUGAAAUCCCCGGGCUUAACCCGGGAAUUGCAUCUGAUACUGGUCAGCUAGAGUCUUGUAGAGGGGGGUAGAAUUCCAUGUGUAGCGGUGAAAGGCGUAGAGAUCUGGAGGAAUACCGGUGGCGAAGGCGGCCCCCUGGACAAAGACUGACGCUCAGGUGCGAAAGCGUGGGGAGCAAACAGG